UACCAGCACCCCGAGUGGUCGGGACGAUUAUUGGGCCUAAAGCAUCCGUAGCCGGUCCUGCAAGUCUUCCGUUAAAUCCAGCUGCUCAACAGAUGGGCUGCGGGGGAUACUACAGGGCUAGGAGGCGGGAGAGGCAAGCGGUACUUUAUGGGUAGGGGUAAAAUCCGUUGAUCCAUAGAAGACCACCAGUGGCGAAGGCGGCUUGCCAGAACGCGCUCGACGGUGAGGGAUGAAAGCUGGGGAGCAACCGG
rnacentral:rRNA from 1 species